rnacentral:rRNA from 1 species
ACCCCACUGCUAUCGGGAUAGGACUAAGACAUGCUAGUCGAGUGCUCUUUAGCCAUGAUGAGAGCACGGCAUACAGCUCAGUAACACGUGGCUAACCUGCCCUUGGGAUAGGAACAACCCCGGGAAACUGGGGCUAAUUCCCAAUAGGUGAAGAACUCUGGAAUGAGUCUCCGCCAGAAAAGACGCUUACGCCAUGCUUGUAGGCGUCGCCCAAGGAUGGGGCCGCGACCGAUCAGGUUGUUGGUGAGGUAACGGCCCACCAAGCCUUUUACCGGUACGGGCCGCGGGAGCGGGAGCCCGGAGAUGGGCACUGAGACAAGGGCCCAGGCCCUACGGGCCGCAGCAGUCGCGCAAACUUUGCAAUACACGAAAGUGUGACAGGGCUAUCCCGAGUGCCGCCCGCUGAGGGUGGCUUUUGCCCAGUAUAGCAAGCUGGGAGAAUAAGGAGAGGGCAAGUCUGGUGUCAGCCGCCGCGGUAAUACCAGCUCUCCGAGUGGUGUGGAUGUUUAUUGGGUCUAAAGCAUCCGUAGCUUGCUGAGUGAGUCCCCUGUUAAAUCCAGCGAAUUAAUUGUUGGUGUGCGGGGGAUACUGCUCAGCUAGGGGACGAGAGAGGCAGACGGUAUUUUCGGGGUAGGGGUGAAAUCCUAUAACCCCGAGAAGACCACCAGUGGCGAAGGCUGUCUGCUAGAACGCGCCCGACGGUGAGGGAUGAAAGCUGGGGGAGCGAACCGGAUUAGAUACCCGGGUAGUCCCAGCUGUAAACUAUGCAGGCUAGGUGUUUGGGCGGCCACGUGCCGCUCUAGUGCCGCAGGGAAGCUGUUAAGCCUGCCACCUGGGGAGUACGGUCGCAAGAUUGAAAUUUAAAGGAAUUGGCGGGGGAGCACACAAGGGUGAAGCUUGCGGUU